GCAAAAUACAGAAGAAACAACACACUGUGUUUUCUGAAGUUUUCAUGAAGCCAUGGCAGCAUUUGCCAUCCACCCCUGUGCAGUGGUUUUGUUGGGGCAAGAUUUCCCAUCUCCAGAAGAAGGAACUAAAGCUUCACAUCAGAGAGAAGAAAAAUGUUCCUUCAAGUCUCAAACCACUGCAGAAGAAUAACUGAGGAUGCAGAGAACGGGGAAAUGCAGAUACGUGCAUAGCUAUAGAUCCAUGUGAAGCAAAGGAUGACAAGGCUCUGGAAGCUGAAAAGAAACCUGGCAUGUGAGUUGCAAUAAAUUCAUUGAGUCCA